rnacentral:rRNA from 1 species
UACAGAGGGUGCUAGCGUUGUUCGGAAUCAUUGGGCGUAAAGGGCGUGUAGGCGGUUUGCUAAGUCAUGUGUGAAAUCCCCUCGGCUUAACCGGGGAACGACGCAUGAAACUGGCAGCUAGAGUACCAAAGAGGGGGGUGGAAUUCCCGGGUGUAGCGGUGGAAAUGCGUAGAUAUCGGGAGGAACACCUGUGGCGAAGGCGGCCCCCUGGUUG